CAUAGGUUAAUGAGGCGAACCGGGGGAACUGAAACAUCUAAGUACCCCGAGGAAAAGAAAUCAACCGAGAUUCCCCCAGUAGCGGCGAGCGAACGGGGAGGAGCCCAGAGCCUGAAUCAGCAUGUGUGUUAGUGGAAGCGUCUGGAAAGGCGCGCGAUACAGGGUGACAGCCCCGUACACAAAAGCGCAUGUGCUGUGAGCUCGAUGAGUAGGGCGGGACACGUGGUAUCCUGUCUGAAUAUGGGGGGACCAUCCUCCAAGGCUAAAUACUCCUGACUGACCGAUAGUGAACCAGUACCGUGAGGGAAAGGCGAAAAGAACCCCGGCGAGGGGAGUGAAAAAGAACCUGAAACCGUGUACGUACAAGCAGUGGGAGCCCCACCACUAAGCCAGUGGUGAACUCCACAUACGCAUCCUUUGCUGAGGAUACGGUUAACGGAGCGAAAGCGACGUUCAACCGCAAAAGAAGCAGAGGGGGCUUAGUGGUGGGGUGACUGCGUACCUUUUGUAUAAUGGGUCAGCGACUUAUAUUCUGUAGCAAGGUUAACCGAAUAGGGGAGCCGGAGGGAAACCGAGUCUUAAUUGGGCGUUAAGUUGCAGGGUAUAGACCCGAAACCCGGUGAUCUAGCCAUGGGCAGGUUGAAGGUUGGGUAACACUAACUGGAGGACCGAACCGACUAAUGUUGAAAAAUUAGCGGAUGACCUGUGGCUGGGGGUGAAAGGCCAAUCAAACCGGGAGAUAGCUGGUUCUCCCCGAAAGCUAUUUAGGUAGCGCCUCGUGAAUUCAUCUCCGGGGGUAGAGCACUGUUUCGGCUAGGGGGCCAUCCCGGCUUACCAACCCGAUGCAAACUGCGAAUACCGGAGAAUGUUAUCACGGGAGACACACGGCGGGUGCUAACGUCCGUCGUGAAGAGGGAAACAACCCAGACCGCCAGCUAAGGUCCCAAAGUCAUGGUUAAGUGGGAAACGAUGUGGGAAGGCCCAGACAGCCAGGAUGUUGGCUUAGAAGCAGCCAUCAUUUAAAGAAAGCGUAAUAGCUCACUGGUCGAGUCGGCCUGCGCGGAAGAUGUAACGGGGCUAAACCAUG
rnacentral:rRNA from 2 species